GUGAAUGCUUAUAAUUCUUACAUUUUCAAGAAGGCAGGAGGAUUGGGAGUUCAAUGUCGUAGACCUGCACACGCUCAUAUGCAUACACAUACACAUGUACGCACAAAUAAAAUAUUGUAAAAACUUGACCUGUUUUAACAGAGAUGCCCAGUUCAUCUUCAUAUGGUUUAUAAAUUUCCUUACUAUCUCUUGAUAACUGGAAUGACUCCCUUGCUUCCGUUAUAAUACUGAUGGAUCUUCUGGCUUUCUAGUCUUGUAGGACUUCUGUCAACUUUAUGAGUACCAUAAAAGAACCCAAAUGUUAUUUCAUUGACUUUCUUUCUGUUUUUAAAUUCAUUUGUUUAUAUUCAAGUCUCCUUCCCAUCUCUGCUUAGGCUAUCAUUAUGGGUUUUGAGGUUAGAGUGUGGAGGACAGAUUUGAGGUAUUGUCAAUGUAUACCCUUACUAUGAUUAAUUUCCUUUUGAACACUACCAUAAAGGCAUCUGAUAAUUUUUUACAUUUCCAGUUUUUCUUUCUUUUCCUCAAUAUGUUAUGGUUUCCUUUUGUUUGUCUUGCUUACCACGUCCUCUGUAACCCAUGGGUUACUUAAACACAUAUUGUACUGUUAAAGUACUUGGAAAUAGCACUCUAAUUUUCUGUCAAUUGAUGUGUAUUUUGAGCGUAUUGUAGCAAAAAACAAAAACAAAAACAAAACAAAACAAAAACAACAACAAACAAACAACAAAAAAAAAAACAAAUAAAAAUCCAAAACCCACCUCACUCUUGAAACACCACUAGUCAGAAGAUAGGGACAGGGAGACAGGAAUUUGUGAACAACUUAAACUCCACCACAAAAUCUUGUUUUAAAAUUAAUCGAUAUUUAAACAAAUGUAUCACUCCUUGUGUUAUUUCAGUUGUUAAUGUUCUGAGGUUUGUUUUCUAGGCUUAUAUUUUUAUUUCAUUUACCUUUUUUCUAUAUUUCAAAGAUGUAUUUAUUAGAAACUUUAAAACUAUUUUAACUCUUUAAUUUCUUUUUUAUCAUUUAUCUAUCUAUUUAUUUUAAACUCCAGAUUGUAUUAGCCUAAAACUAAUGCAUUCUCCCACGGCAUCUUUGUGAGUGUUUAUGCAUGUGUGAGUGUGUGCGUGUGUGUGUGUGUGUGUGUGUGUGUGUGUGUUUGUAUGUGUGUGUGUGUGUGAUUACAUUUGUUUUCAUUUAUUUCCCCUCCCUCCAAGCCACCUUAAUUAACUCUUCUUUAGACUUGUCUUAUACUAUUCCAGUGAUGUUGGGCAAAGAACAUCUGGACUCUUUAUUUUAUCUUGGCAGCAUUUUGGCUUUCAAGCUGAUAUUUUUAAGUGUGGGUUAGAAUUCAGCUACAGUUCCUUCUGUGGUAUUUGGCUAUAGAAAAUGGCAAUUUCCUUCCUGGGGAAUAGUGGUGUAUGGCUUUAAACCCAGACCCUGGGAGGCAGAGGCAAACAGAUCUCUGAGUUCCAGGCCAGCUUGGCCUAUACAGUGAGUGUCAGGAUAGCCAGGGCUACACAUAGAAACCCUGUCUUGAAAAAAAAACAAAGUGGAAAGAAAAAUUAAAACAGUAUUGUCCCAAUAAUUACUGUCCCUGUGGGCCACUGUUCUUCUGAUGCCAUGACUGAAAAACAAACAAAAACCAAAGAGUUGAAAACAAACAAACAAACCAGCAAACACCAGUCAAAAGGUGAAGGGAAUUAUGGGCAUGCCAGUCCUCAGUCUGUCACAGUCUCUUUCUAUCUGUUUUAUACAUAUUCUUUGGGAUAUAUUGGUGGUAUUUAAUAGAAGAUUUAAAUAAAAAUAUUUAUUCCAUGCUCUUAAACACAAAAGUUUGCUUCUUUCUUUUUCUUUGUUUCUUUCAUUUGGAAUUGCGAGGCCACCAUACAACUUUUAUAUCAGUUAAUUUAUGGAAGUUAAACAUAAAAUUGUGAAAACCUAAUUAAUGAGUUUUUACUGAAAGGGAAUAGUUCGGAUUGAGGAAAGACUUCCAUAGGUAAUUUAUAUUUAAUAUGCAUUUCCUUUCUGUUCUUCAAUAUCUUCCUGCUUGUUUCAUAAAGAGUUUCACCUUAAUAAAUUUCCUCUGGAUACCAACUUAGCUACUUUACCACGGGCUUUUCUUAUUUAAAAGUAUUUACUGAAUGACACCUCAUAGGAGUCUCUAGCGCUAGUCCCCUAUACCCAGUGUAAAACCUAUCAAACACUAGUGCUUAAUUGCCGCAUAACUGAACGGUCACUACAAAUUUACACUUCUCAUUCUAUGUCUGUCACCUAUUUUGUGCAUCCUGAACAUACAGGGCUUUAAAUAUGCAUUGUACAAUUCUCCCUACCCAACACUCUUUAGUGCUGUGGUUAAGACUCUAGAAAACGUUGCCCAGGAUUUUUCAGUCUAGGAGAAAAACAAUCGCAAACUUCAGCACAUGUUUAAGGUCAAGUUCUACUGUGUAGAACUUCGUGCAGUUUUCAAUUACAGACAGGCCGGAUUUUGUGAUGUUUCCCAUAUGGGCAUGUGAUAUUCACCCCUUACUGCUCCUAAAGUGACCUCGUGAAUAAGAUAAUAACCUUUAAAUCCAUUGAUGGGAUGUUUCCGAGUUCUGACUUUCACAAAUAAUGUUUAGGCAAGUCGUGUUUUAACUAUCAAAUAAUAUUUAAUAUAUGUGCAUUCCUGGAGAGGGACAUGGAUCCAUUACUCAGAUAAGGCAAUGAACAUAAUUCUAGACUUACUACAAACAUAAGUGACUUUAAUAUACAAUCACUACAAAUUUUUCAAUCAUGUAUGAAAAUGUAGGUCUUCUGCAUUGUCCUCUGAAUUUUGACUUAUAUGUUAACGAUGCUUGCUCUGCUACUUGGCUUAACAUUCUGCUUAAGGGAAUAUUUAAAGAUUGAAUUCACUCCACUCUUGUUAGGAAGUAUGGAAAUGUUUGUACAUGGGAAAAAAAUCUCAUUGCAUGCUAGAAUGGAAAUUCACCAGGGAGGGGGAAGCUGUUCAUUUUAUUGCCUAAGAGCUGUUGAUAUGCUCCCUGAAUCUUUCAAAGGCAUCUUUCAUGCCACACAGGCAACCCGCAGCCAGUCAGAGAACAGAAAGAACACUUCUCACAUGUGUCAAUCUCCGAAAACUUGCAUAGCAGCUGUGCUAGGUAGUGAUGGGGAUUAUCGCAAGACCCAAUUGCAGGGGUUUGCCUGCUGGAAGAGACACCCCAUCCUCUCAAGGGACCACUUUGUUGGAGAUGGUAGCAAUAAUGCAUCUCUGUUGCUAGUGGAUAUUGUGGCCAUGUAGCACAAAAUUGGUGCUAGAUAAAAAUCAGAAAGUAAUAAAAAUGCAAAAAGGAAAACUGGGAGGUUUGGUUUUGUUUCAAAGUCUUAAAGUGGGAGAAUAAAACAAAUGUGCUAGGCUUGUUGCGUUUAC
rnacentral:lncRNA from 1 species